UGGUGGAGCGAUUUGUCUGGUUAAUUCCGAUAACGAACGAGACUCUGGCCUAUUAAAUAGUUCGCCGAUUCCGAUCUGUCGGCGUUAACUUCUUAGAGGGACUAGUGGCUUUUAGCCACGCGAGAUUGAGCAAUAACA
rnacentral:rRNA from 1 species